UACGGGGGGGGCAAGCGUUGUUCGGAAUUAUUGGGCGUAAAGCGCGUGUAGGCGGCCACGCAGGUCCGCUGUGAAAACUCGAGGCUCAACCUCGAGCUGUCGGUGGAAACCGCGUGGCUAGAGUCCGGAAGAGGGGACUGGAAUUCCCGGUGUAGCGGUGGAAUGCGCAGAUAUCGGGAGGAACACCCGUGGCGAAGGCGGGUCCCUGGGACGGUACUGACGCUGAGACGCGAAAGCGUGGGGAGCGAACAGG
rnacentral:rRNA from 1 species